GUGAAAUAGGUGCAGUGCCAGCACUUAUUUUGGGUGCCAAUAGUCUUUAUAUUUAUGUGCCGCAAAUUACAAUAUUUUCAUGCCAAUAUUCUAUAACAGGUGCUGGAACUCAAGCAGUGAGUGUUCAGGAACGGCCUAAUGUCAACUAUUUGUUCCAUUCAUACCACCAGAGAGUUUCGACGAUGGACCUUGGUGAUGGAACAAAUUAUUUCUCUGAGUCUUAACAAAAAGGAUAAACACACACGUUUCCUUUUGGCCCCCAUUCCCAACAAGAAACAAGAAGGAGCCAGCAUUUACCUUUAUGAGGGAGGAUUAAAAAAUGAUGAGCAUUUCAAGAUUCCCACAGCACGUGAGAAGCCCACAGCACUUGAGAAGCCCACAGCACGUGACAGAACUGACAACAGCGAUUGUGGGGAAGCUGGAAUCAGCAAGUGGAAAAGACGUGGUUGUCACUCACCCAAAGACUAAACGAUUGGCUGAAGUUGUAAAAGAGUGAGCUGAAGCACUCUGGGGCUCCAUCAGUUUAUGAGAUGCCCAUGGAAACAAUAGAGCUGGUGAAGAAAGUAGCCAGCCACAGGUUUGGAGAGCAGAUCCCGAAGCCCAAGCAGACGAUCCUUCUAGCGGGUGACGAAGAAGAGGUGAUGCCCGUCAUCAGCACCAUGAUCAACUACUUCCUGGGAAGAUGACUUCUGUUUCAAGCUGCCCCUAAAAUGACGAGGCUGUUGUUGUAUAGGAAAUCAGUUACCACGAUGGAUUUCAGAUCCCCUUCUCUUAUAAGGUGUCGCCCAUCUUCCCCAUUAUCCCCUGUGUAUUUAUACCGGUGUUCUCUGUUUGUCUCUUGCCAGUUCGUUUUGUUUGUGAAACCUACCAGUGUUUGUUCCCCUGCUCCUACCGGUUUCUUGCACCUGUUUUCUAGUCCUUUCCGGUUUUGACCGUUCUGCCUGCCCUGAACAUGACCCUGACCCUGAGCCUGACCCUGCCUGCCAUUCUGUACCUUGCCCCACCUAACUGGAUUAUUGACCCCUGCCUGUCCUGACCCUGAGACUGCCUGCCGUUCUGGACUCUUUGCACCCUCUCUAGAUUAUUUACCUCUGCCUGCCUUUGACCUGUCGUUUGCCUGCCCCUGUAUUAGAAAUAAACUUUUGUUUCUUCAACACUG